rnacentral:piRNA from 1 species
UGGCUAAAAGACACAUGUGGUGCCAAU